GGUUGUGGCUCAUCGGUAGAGUGCUUGCCUGGCAUGUGGGAGGCCCUGGGUUUGAUCCUCAGCACCA
rnacentral:tRNA from 1 species